CUGCAUACGAUUAAUACCAGAGUCAGCCUUAUUGUUUCAGAUACCACGAUAGAUAUAGCAAGUUCAGAACAGAUACCACAAUAGAUGUAGCAAGUUCAGAACAGCAUGGGUGUGAAACAUACCGAUCCAAGGCGAGCCUUUCCUUUAACAAUGCAGUAAGGGACCUCCAUCUUCCUGCACAGGGCUGGAAGCCACACAACCAGUUCAAUCGGAUCCACAUCAUGAGCGAUGACAACAAGCUGAGCCUUGUUCUGCACAAAUUCAUACAUUCAGUUGAUUACCAUUGAAGUUGCCAUAAAAGUAUUGCAUAGUGACUACACCCAGUAUUGAAGUCAUGAAACAAAGAAGUGCCAAGUCAUACCUGCUCAAUGAGGUAAGUCACAUGGUUAAGGCCAUACUUAACAACAAUUGGUUUCUUGGCUUCAACAGUUUUUCCUUCAGUCUCAGCCUGAGCCCUCUUCAGAAGCCUCUCCUUCUUGGCAGCCUUGUCUUCAGGCCGGUAUUUGAGAAGCAUCUUGAACAGGUUGGUAGCUGCAAACAUUUCACAUCAUAAAUUUUCAACACCAUAAUAUACAUUGACAAAUGAAUAGGUAGCUUAUACCAUUAUAGAAAGAAGAAAACAGAUAAGGUGUAAUUAAGUAACUGCAUAGUUCUAACGUAGCAGCCAGUUAACUUAAUCAAGAACACAUGAGUGCAUUCAGUGUCUUAUCAAUUCCCCUGAUAGGUGAGAUGGUAAUACAUCAUUCUUUAGUCUUUCAGUAAAUUAGAUGAAUGCUUAUCCACUAAUUUUAGCAGGAUGGUGUUCGAUCAUGUUUACAGGUGAAUAUCAGAGGCAUGACUAGACAUGCUUCUAGCCACUAUUAUGUCACAAUGUAACACUAAAUGAAUUUAGGCACACUGAUGAGAGGCCCGACCCUAAAAAACUCUUGCAAAGCCUCGUCACCUAAUUAAGGUUCCCAAAGAUGUAAAUGGCAAGCCUAAUGGCACUAUGGCCAAAAUAAUGCAAGACAACAGUAACUGGAACUUAUAAAGCAUAUUUGCAUACAUCAAACAGUUGGUUAUUAAUCUACUGUGCAAGUGAAAUAGAACAGGUUUCUGCAACAAAUCAAGACUUUGCAAUUGAAGGUGAUACUUCUACUAUUUCUUAGAAACCUAGCACUCUCAGUAAACAGGAGGAAUAAGUUCUGUUCAUACCGAGGUUCUUGUCGAGGGUGCGGGUGAACUGGUUGAGCGCCGGUGGCACCUUGAGGCGCUGCUUGAGGAUGCGGCGCUGGCGCUGGAUGCGGACGACCUUGGGCCACUUGACGAACCGGUGCAGGUCCUUCUUGGGCGGCAACGCGCCGCCGAUGCCGAACUGCUUCGGCCUCUUCUCGAACAGAGGGUUCACCACUUUAUCCUGCACCCAGCCAGACCCAACACAGUCAGAACACGCAUCCCAACCAUGGCGCCGCACACAUCUCGAGCAAGAACGCGGGAAAGCGCAAUACAUACCGUCUUCUUCUUGGCCGGCACAGGCGCCCUGCCACCUCGCUUCGGGGCCUGCAGAUUUGUAAGUCGAACUCUUAGCACAUUACAUGAAUCAUACAAAGAUAUGCAGCAAGUUAACAUCAUAAGCAUCAUAAGCAUGUGCCCCCAAGAUCCACGAAACAAGAUUGAAAUAUAACCAAAGAAUAUCCGAAACAUCCCAGGUUUUUUCCACAUGGAAGAGAUUGGAUCAAUGGAAAUCCGAAAGCACAAGCAGAAGAUAGGCGGCGAGACCGCACGCACCAUUUCGCCGGAGGGGAGCUUGGCGUUCCGAACGGGAGACGACGGCGGCGCGAGGUAGGGGGAGGAGGCGGCUAGAGGCGCUUGGAGGCGGAGAGGUGGUUCUAUAAAGGAUGACUCGCGCCGAGCUGGACGCACCCUGGCCGUCGGAUGCUAGGUGGACAAGCAAGCAUCCCGGUCUCGGCCGUCCGGUGCUGGGAUUAGGGUUUAGGCGAAGCCACUUGGGCCGCACACGAGAGAAAGGUAGGUGGGCCUCCAUGCGCUGGGCCGUUCGUAGUAUCCGUGGUUUCUGUUUGAGCCCAUUUGUUUGGCACUUUUCAUUUUUCAAAGAAAAUAGUCUAUUUUUCCUCCCCAACUUUCACGAAAGCCCGUUUUUCCUCCCUCAAUUCUAAAAUCGGGCAAAUCAUCUCUCUUAACUUUUUAAACCAUACAAUUUACCUCUCUUGAGCGGUUUUGAAGGCAGUUUUGCUACAGUGAAUAGUGGUUUACUACCGUAACUGUGGUUUGUAUUUUUAUUUUUAAAUUAUUUCGGGUGAAUCUUUGAAAAAUAUAGUAAAUCACAGAAAGAUUAUAAAAUAGAAAAUCUAAUUUUUUUAGGAGUUCAUAUAAGUAGAUCUAUAUAGUAAACAUAUAAUGGUAUGCUUUAGUACAAAGUUUUUGCUAUAAAGGUUUUGUCCUUUUAUUUUAUUUAUUUAUUUGGAUGAAUCUUUGAAAAAUCAUAGUAAAACAUAGAGAAAUCAUAAAAUAGAAAAUAUAAUUUUCUUAUACUCUAGUUUAUAGUAAGUUUAUGUGUUGCAGAGAGUCUCUAGUCUUUUGUUGUGUUUAUUAUCAAAAGUCAACCUGAGUGUGGCCUACUUGUCUACAAAACUGCAUUUGUGGUGUUAAUUUAUUGUGAAAAAAAUAUGUCAUGGCUGAAAAGUAGUGUCGAUAAGUUCAAGCGACCAGGGCGUAACAUCUCCUUCAAGCUUAUGUAUGUUGACUUUGUGGUUCAAUUGACAGGUUCUUCCCCUAAAAGAAAUUUGUAGACAGCUAUAUUUUUUUGUUAUUCCAUUAUUAGAGGUGUAACUUCUUAGAAGCAAUAUUAUUUCAUUAUGCAUUGACAUCUUUCAUACUGCUCUGUUUCUAUUGCUUUCUCUUCCUAAAACGUUUUCUGUGCAGCUGCUGAGGUAAUCACAAACUGAAUUAUGCCCGCAUUGUUACCAAAAAAAGCUCUUUUACAUAGUCUUCCUUCAGCUUUUUGAUGGAGCUAUAGCUAACAAAACAAGGUGUCUCCGAGCAUCCACCAACCUUUUGACUCUAGAAGAUUCAAUAUUAAAAAUAAGGAAGGGAGCAUCUCCUCAAAUUUUAAGUUGAUGCUAUCUCAUUGGCGGUCCAAGUGCUCCAAACGCUGAUGGGUAAUAAUUUAAACAAAAUUUAUUUAGAAAGACAAGAUUAAGCAACUGUAUCAAGGUCCAUAUCUGCAUAUUAUUCUCCUAUCUUGAUGUAGUGAAAACAUGUCUCUUACAAGUUACCAUUGCAAAGAUAAUACUUUUUCUACAUCUCUAAACUUAAUGCCUCUAGUUUUUUCUAUGAUCUUUGAUUAAUUGAGCUAGAAAAUUGACAAACUAUGUUGUAUUACAUGUAUUAAAGACAUUGGAGACAAUUUACCAAAAUGACAAUUCUAUGUUUGUCUUUGGAUGUUCAAAGAGUGUCACCUAUAUUUUUAUCUAAUUAUGUCAAUAUGGUACUGUAUAACUGAUUAGGUACAACCCCAUUAGCUUGUCUGAAAAUUUAUUGUUGAAAGUACUGUUCGCUGUUUUAUUGCGAGAGAAAAACACUACGGGAUGGCUGACAGAAUUCGGCUGAUAAGCUGUUUUCCAUGAUGUUUGAUUAAUUGAGCUAGAAAAUUGAUAAACUAUGUUGUAUUACAUGUAUACUCAGAAUGGAUAUAAAUUUUGUGAAGAAUAAUAAGUUUAUAUUGCCAUUUUUAUUUGUAAACUUUUUGUAAAAAUGAUGAACUGAUGCUCUAAUAUUUUGUUGUUAUUAAGUAUGUAAUAAGAAUCAUAGAAAACCAGAACUGGGGUAUCAGAACGAAGCAACCAAAUCAGGUGAAAUCAAAUGAAGCUGCUUGUAAUUGUAACAAGGACGGGAAACCUGCCUAGCAAUUGGGAAACCUGCCUAGCAGGCCCUGGGCGUCCAGCCAACUAAGCCUUGAAUUCUAGGAGACCUUUUACCAUUCCCAUUUUUUUCUCGGUCAAAACACCAAGAAUGUAGGACCUGUUUGGCAUAGCUCAACUUCACUAGUAAAGCUGUUUUUUUAGAAAAUAGCUUCCUGAGUGACUUUCUAGAUGAAGCUGAGCUGUUUUGGAAAAAGUGUUUGGCAAAAUAGCUUCAUAAACUACUUCAUGCAUAGUUGAGAGAGAGAGCUACAAUAAGCUACUUUUUUCAACUUUAUCCCAACUUAUGUCUUUGUGAGAGGAGGGUUCACCCAUAAAGCUGUUUUGGAAAUAAGUGUUUGACAAAAAAAAGCAACUCAUGAAGUUGUUGUGAGCUGUACCAAACAGUCUCGUAGUAUACAACUUGAAUUCAUUUUCUCUCUCUAAAUUAAUAUAAAAAGCUCAAGGUAAUGCAAUGUUUAAAAUAUUGACUCCUUUUAAGAUGAGACAUAAUCCUCUAUUUUGACAAAUUGAUAACAGCAUUGUAGCCUUGCUCUACAGGACGUAGCAUUUCUACUUCUAGGCUCUUGGAAUGUUCAACAUGUUCCUCAUGGCUAACAAAUUCUUCUUCGAAAUGAAUUUGUCACUAACAAAUUCUUCAUGUGAGGGCACAACAUACAUCAUAUAUACCACCAAUAUAUAUGCCAAUUGCCAUCAACAUGUCAAGAUUACUUAAGCACUCCUCAACAAAAGCUAGAGCGCAAGAACUCAUCAACUGCUACGACGCACGAACCAGCUAUGGCGGUUGGCAUCUACGUACAUGGUUUUGCACACGAUUCAUAUCAGUAUUCAGUACACAAGACUAUACUCAUCUCCCGUGCAGAUCGGCGUGAGAUCAAGCACCGUCGUCACCUGACCUCCUAGCUAUGCUAGGACCGGCCGACGAGGAGAGGCCGGGCGGGGACGAGCAGCCGGCCGUACGCGGAGUGGCCCCUGACAAGGCCGCACCUCGCCACGGUCGUCGCCGCCGCCUGGCCAGCCGCGUCCUCCUCCUCGAUCUGCUCCAGCACCCGCACGAAGGCGUCGGCGUCGCACGGCAGCGCGAGCGGGCCGGCGGCCGCGUACCCGAACACGUCCUCGGCCUCCUCCAGCAGCGCCCGAAACAGCGGGUGGUUCACGCACUCCGUCCGGACCAUGAAGCGCUGCCGCCCCGCGCCGACGCACACCGUGAAGCACCCCUCCGGCGCCGGCGCCGGCUUGCUCCUCCGCGCGCUGCGGCACCGGUCCAGCGUCUUCAUGAUGAGCCCCGCCGGCUUCCUUCCUUUCUCCGGCAUGGUAGUGGGCACGCGUCAAUCACAAGACUUGGGCACCUGGCUACUUAGCAAAGCUACAGCUAGCGAAAGGUGAAAUCAAUGUUAGUGGUCACAAGAAUGAGAAGGUGCGUGAGAGGAAUAUAUAUAUAUAUAUAUAUAUAUAUAUAUAUAUAUAUAUAUAUAUAUAUAUAUAUAUAUAUAUAUAUAUACACACACACACGUAGAGACAAGAUGUUUAGUGAACCUAGAGAGAGAAAGGGUCUUGAUCAAGAGGCUGUUUUUAUAUAUAAGGCCUUGUUUAGUUCCCAACAAAUUUUGCAAAAAUUUUCAAAUUUCCCAUCACAUGGAAUCUUAGACACAUGUAUGGAGUAUUAAAUAUAGACAAAAAUAAAAACUAAUUGCACAGUUUGAUCAAAAUUGACGAGACGAAUCUUUUAAGUCUAGUUAGUCCAUAAUUUGAUAUUAUUUAUCAAAUACAAACGAAAGUGCUACGGUGUCGAUUUCCCAAAAAAAUUUGAAACUAAACAAGGCCUAAGAUUAUUAGGGGCUCCAUGAGAGAGAGGGAGGCUCUAUAGUUGUUUACUAUACGUACACAAAUUGCAUAUAGAAUUGCACACUUCAACUUGUAGGUUGUAGCGCAUAGUACGUGCAUAGUAUAGUACAAUUGUUAGGGUACGGUUUGGCUGUUUCGGAAGGGUAAACAACUACACCAGGAGCCGAGCCGGAGCCGGAGAUAUAUAAUCCAUGCAACGCAUGAGUCAUGACAUCAAGCAUGGCCGACUCUCGAGAGGCCGGGGUCAGUUCAUGGCGCAUCAGCGCAAUAAUGCAGUACAUUAGCUAGAGGCAGGUUGACCCCUCUCGGACGCUGUGCGUGCAUGAUUGCCAUUAGUUUGGAGAGGUGUCGAACUCCCCCAACCACAGGGGUUGUUUAGCUUAAUUAGCAACCGUCUGCGCCUUCUCUGAUUUUCACCAACGCAACAAACGCUCCAAAACGUCAGCAUCCUUCUUGCAGAUUUGUUUUAUGGUUCCAGUAGUCCUUAGCCUUCAUCAUGACAACACACUCUACAGCCCUGUUUAGAUUCAAAAAUAUUUUGGAUUUUGUCACUGUAGCACUUUCAUUUUUAUCUGACAAACAUUAUUCAAUCAAAUUGGACAAAUAGUUUUUGUUUUUAAUAAUAUUUAAUGCUCCAUACAUAUAUCACAAAAUUCGAUGUGACGUGAAAUUUUGAAAAAAAAAUAGUUUUUGGAUGAAGUAAACAAGGCCUUGGCUGUCUUGUACUCUCUUUUUCGAGCAUUUCAAGUGCAUCAUUCACGCGUAAGGGAAACACUGCACUGAGUUUGGCUGCAGCAUCAUAUUCGUGCCUGCCGUAGGUACCAUGUUCAAAUCCGAGAGAAAAGACAAGACAAGAGAGCAGAGAGGUAACAAUCCUGAUGAACUUCUCAUGUUCAGCAAUCGGUUCACUUCUAUAGAAAACAUUUUUACAGGAGGUGCUAGAAGCAUCUUCAUAGGCAACCAAGCCCACCGUGAGUCACUACAAAAUAGAACAUAGUACAGGCUCAUCUAGUCAGCCGUCUGUGUACAUAUAUUUUUACAUAAGCGGCUGACUAGGUGAGCCACGUGUGAAAACCUAAUUUUCACAGGCGGCUCACACUCCACUGCCUGUGUAAAUAAUUUUUUAUAUAUAUUUUAAAUUUUAAUUUUUCCACCACACUACAGUGCUAAACAUCAUAUAUAUAUAUAUAUAUGGAAAUUCCUUUGUACACGUACGUGUAGUUACUCUCAUCUUUCAAUAAACUACAUUAUGUAUGUAUUCAUACUUGUUUAUCGGUUUGAGUAUGUUUAUAUAUUUAUAUUAAGAUACUAUAGAUCUUACCACGCGAAAACUUUUCAAAAAAAAUUAAAUGCCACUACUAUAUUAUAUACAAUAAGUAUAACCAUAUACUCUAUGUAUGUAUGUAUUUAUACUUAACAUACAUAUCACAUUAUAUGGUCUAGUAUGAUCAUAUACUUUGUCUAUAUAUAUUUUGUUCGGUCAUAUACAGCUUAAAUCUAGAGAUAUAUAGAUGAGAGUAACUACACGCGCGUGUAAAAAAAUGUGUCCUAUAUAGGGAAAUUGUCCCUAACGUAUCGUUCCCGCUGCCUUAUAAACUCACACACAUAGAACCCACAAUAGGCCGAUCCAGAUGGUUGCUCGUGGCACUAUAGAAUGAGCAACAGAUUAUUCUAAAAUUAUCAUGCCUUAUGUAUUCUUUAUAUGAUGAUAUGUGUUCGGACAACUUACCGGAUAGUGAUGUUGUAUCGUCAAUGGGACCCUAGGAUCUGAGCGUACGAAGUCGACCGGUCCUAUGUUUCUUAUAAAACCGCAAUGCCCUGUAGAUAUCGAAUAUAAAUCACUAAAGUUAUUUUAAAACUCUAAUAUAAUUCAUAUAGGUACGCAUGUGGUUGCAUGUUGGCUCACUUUCUAAUUGAACAAAAAAUGAUGAAUACUUCUCGGGAGGAAAAUAUAAGGAGUCUAGGACAAGCACCUUCCCUUCAAAGGGAUAAAUAUAAAAAAACAAUCCAAUGGUCACUGCAUGACUAAAUGAGUGAGCGACAUAUGUAUAUUGUUUACAUGAUAAUUUGAAGUACGUAUACGAAGUCAAGCUUACCUAAAGUUGUAAGAUGCUAAUAUGAAAUCUCUGUACUCAUACCUCAGCAUUGAUCUACCGAGAUAGAGGGCAUAAUCAUCCUCGUAUUUUCUUUGCAACUCUUUUAUAGCUUCUGCAACUUCUUCUGGUGUUUUGUCCUUCUCUACCUUUGCUCUAUCUUCCUUUGAUAGUACAAAUUUGUACAUAUUUUCUUGUAACUUGAUAGGGCUCAGAUAACCGACCAUCGAUCCAGUAGAUAAUAAUGACCUCUACUCGUGAUCUUGCAAACUACAGACAACAUCCACAUAGUAGAGUUUCACAGUACAUAUUAAUAAUAAAUGUGUGUGCAUGAGUGAUACUUAUAGGUACCAGAUUGUUAUGAGUUGGACGUCAAGUCAGCCUAUAGUUCAACAACAAGUGCAUGUCCUAGAAGGUAACAAAUGCCUUGCUUUUUUCCUUGCCAGCAGCAAACACGUCUGCUGGUAUAUCAACACUGAUUGUAUGGAUGCCACCAUGUGCUGCUCUCAUAUACCAGUCAUAAAACCUGUUUAUCGUCUAUUGAAUCUUAUCGAGCAGCAUCCAUGGGAGCAUAGGACUUCCGGCACAUAGUCAUUGGGACAUUGACAUAAUCAUCAAUCAUUGGCUUUCUGAUAUCCUUUAGGGUCAAUGGUUGACUUGAUGGCUGUUCGACAUGUACAUUGUAACUUGGAGCUUCUGUUGAUGGGGGCACGACUUCUGUUGACACGGCGGUGGCUUCCUUUUCCUUUGACGGUUUGAGCACAACGAGUUGUGUCGUUCGUUGCUUUCUAAGUCCUUUUAGAAAGAGAGUUGUGCCAGUUGCUUUCUCCUUUUUUUGGCUCAAAGGGAGAAAUCAAUUUUGAAAUUGGAAAUUUCUUGACCUUCUUGGAGGCCGGUGCUAAUGCGGGAGUUUGCUCAUCUUCCUUCUGCUUUGGUGGUGGAAUUUGCUCAUCCUCCUUCUCCCUUGUUGUGUCCUCCUUGGAUGGCAGAGUCUGCUGCUCACGCAUGUUCUCCUUGGCUGGCCCCUCAAGCUCAUUCAGCGAGGAUGCCAACUCAUGUAUUGGGGGAGGUUGGCGGUGACUCGUAAAUGUAUGGAGAUGCUGGAGCAUGUAUUGGUGAUGGUGGCUAUUGAUAUGUUUCGGCCGCUUGGGAUGGUUGAGGCACUAUGCUUGGAGAGGGUGGCGCUGGUGGAUCAAUCAACCUGAUGUACCGUCUCGGCCAUUGUAUGAAGUUGUUGAUUGCUUGUCUAAGCUUCUCUAUACCCUCAGAGGUCGGGAUGUCUAUAAAGUCGUCUUCAUAUCCACUCUCGAGCGUCAACACUUCCACCCUAUAGUAUGCAUCUUGCAUGUCGACGGUAUGAAAUCUACGUCCUGGGAUAGCAUUACCUGUGGCCACUUGCUUUGUAUGCUGAUUCUUAAGACCAUAGGAUAUGACCAAGGAGCAAGGCCAAGGUCUAUCAAUAUCAUCAAGCUAGGCCACUGCGCAUCCGGCGUUGUGACUCUCUCCUGCACUAGUAUGUGCCUGCGCAGCCACCACCGUCGCCGUUUGAGACAUGGACGUCGCAUGGAUGACGAUCAAGCUAGGCCUAUGUUGUUGGACGGCCGGAGAAGCGCACGUAGAGGCACGGAAGUCUGGCGCGAUGAAUGGAGCGUUCAAGUCUUUGAUCCGGUCAUGCGGCCGUGCGGGAUGUUGCCUCACAUGAAAGAAGAAACCACCUUGAAUCAAUCUGUCUCGUUAGAUGUUGGUUGAACGAUGGAUAGCAUAGAGAAAGUUACAGCGUGACUUUCCUAAGCAAAGCAUAUCCGUUCGGGGGCGGGGCUGUUGGGCAAUGGGAGACAGACCAGCCCAGCAAUCCAAAUGGACUAGGUCCAUUGUCUAGUUCAGUUAGUGGCUCAUUUAACAUUCGCUAAUAAACGAUAGCUCAACUGAAUCAUGAGCCACAGCGAUAUUUAGACGAUCCGCCCAUACUAGCAUCUAGCUCGAAUCUCUUGAAUCUCAUACUUUAGCUAACUGAGUAGCCUCAGAGUAGCCUCAUGGGCAGAUGAGUUACAUGAGCAAAAGCCAAAAGAUUAAAACAAAAGUAGGAGCUAGCUAUGACCGAGAUCUCUAGAACAAGUUGAUAGCGUCCUCUAAUUGUUUUGAAUUUGUUUACAAUUCAAUGCGAGAGAUGCUAUAUUAAUCAGCAAACUCCAGCGGCCUUAAGGCACACUGUUGCUUCAACCAUUAGAGUGUCAUGUGCUGUGUCCCACGUUUCCAGCUCCAGCCAACGCAACACCACCCCAUUCACACGCGAAAGAUUUAAAAAGAACUCAUUAAUCGGCAAAAGAUUUUGCGGAGGGCAUAUGGGAUUUUUUUUUUUCGAGCGGGAUCGUUGUCACCAGCAUAAUACGUCCUCGGAAAAGAAAACAUUUCCAGUGCUUAAGCAAGUCCCUUUCAACUCGCUCUAAAUCCUCAUUUUAAAAGCCAUUUGCGCAGAAACCAUAAAAAGGUGGCAAUAUUUUAAAAUAUAAUUAAACAACCUGUUAUAGGGCAUUAACAAAAUCUCUCUAUCAAUAUAUAAAGAUAUAAAGAUACUAUUAUAGUUGAUCUUAGGCAAAUAAAAACAAGGUUGCCUGGGGCGCAAAAUAAUAUACUAGCUGAGACAUCGCAUAAACACUGUAACAUCUGUCUUGCAAAGUUUCUAAACAUGGUCUGGUGGACAGAAACAUAUGAAACUUGAUUCAGAAAACCACAAUACGAGUGCACAACGAUUAUCAGUUCUUCCGCGUCAAACUACAGGGCACACUCAGAAGUGGAUAAUCUAGGUCAUCCGCUGAGCAGCCUCCUUGGCGAUCAGCUUUUCCCUAGCCUUGGUCUUGGCCUGCGACUUGGAGCCCAUGAUACCACCUCCCCACUUCUUCCUCACCUCAUCGAACUUGUCGUUGAA
rnacentral:lncRNA from 1 species